rnacentral:rRNA from 1 species
AACGCUGGCGGCAGGCCUAACACAUGCAAGUCGAGCGGUAACAGAGAGCUUGCUCUCGGGUGACGAGCGGCGGACGGGUGAGUAAUGUCUGGGAAACUGCCUGAUGGAGGGGUAACUACUGGAAACGGUAGCUAAUACCGCAUAACGUCGCAAGACCAAAGUGGGGGACCUUCGGGCCUCAUGCCAUCAGAUGUGCCCAGAUGGGGUUAGCUGGUAGGUGGGGUAACGGCUCACCUAGGCGACGACCUAGCUGGUCUGAGAGGAUGACCAGCCACACUGGAACUGAGACACGGUCCAGACUCCUACGGGAGGCAGCAGUGGGGAAUAUUGCACAAUGGGCGCAAGCCUGAUGCAGCCAUGCCGCGUGUGUGAAGAAGGCCUUCGGGUUGUAAAGCACUUUCAGCGGGGAGGAAGGCGGUGAGGUUAAUAACCUCACCGAUUGACGUUACCCGCAGAAGGCACCGGCUAACUCCGUGCCAGCAGCCGCGGUAAUACGGAGGGUGCAAGCGUUAAUCGGAAUUACUGGGCGUAAAGCGCACGCAGGCGGUCUGUCAAGUCGGAUGUGAAAUCCCCGGGCUCAACCUGGGAA